rnacentral:rRNA from 1 species
GAUGAACGCUGGCGGCGUGCCUAAUACAUGCAAGUCGAGCGAACAGACGAGGAGCUUGCUCCUCUGACGUUAGCGGCGGACGGGUGAGUAACACGUGGAUAACCUACCUAUAAGACUGGGAUAACUUCGGGAAACCGGAGCUAAUACCGGAUAAUAUAUUGAACCGCAUGGUUCAAUAGUGAAAGACGGUUUUGCUGUCACUUAUAGAUGGAUCCGCGCCGCAUUAGCUAGUUGGUAAGGUAACGGCUUACCAAGGCAACGAUGCGUAGCCGACCUUAGAGGGUGAUCGGCCACACUGGAACUGAGACACGGUCCAGACUCCUACGGGAGGCAGCAGUAGGGAAUCUCCCGCAAUGGGCGAAAGCCUGACGGAGCAACGCCGCGUGAGUGAUGAAGGUCUUCGGAUCGUAAAACUCUGUUAUUAGGGAAGAACAAAUGUGUAAGUAACUAUGCACGUCUUGACGGUACCUAAUCAGAAAGCCACGGCUAACUACGUG